rnacentral:rRNA from 1 species
CUUUACUGUAGCUUUGUAUUGGACUUUGACCAGAUCUGUGUAGGAUAGGUGGGAGGCUUUGAAGUGAGGUCGCUAGAUCUCAUGGAGCCAACGUUGAAAUACCACCCUGGUGUGUUUGAGGUUCUAACCUAGGUCCAUUAUCUGGAUCGGGGACAGUGCAUGGUAGGCAGUUUGACUGGGGCGGUCUCCUCCCAAAGCGUAACGGAGGAGUUCGAAGGUACGCUAGUUACGGUCGGACAUCGUGACGAUAGUGCAAUGGCAUAAGCGUGCUUAACUGCGAGACUGACAAGUCGAGCAGAUGCGAAAGCAGGAAAUAGUGAUCCGGUGGUUCUGUAUGGAAGGGCCAUCGCUCAACGGAUAAAAGGUA